GUGAACGCUGGCGGUAGGCCUAACACAUGCAAGUCGGACGGCAGCACCGUAAGAGCUUGCUCUUACGGGUGGCGAGUGGCGGACGGGUGAGGAAUACAUCGGAAUCUACUUUUUCGUGGGGGAUAACGUAGGGAAACUUACGCUAAUACCGCAUACGACCUACGGGUGAAAGCAGGGGAUCUUCGGACCUUGCGCGAUUGAAUGAGCCGAUGUCGGAUUAGCUAGUUGGCGGGGUAAAGGCCCACCAAGGCGACGAUCCGUAGCUGGUCUGAGAGGAUGAUCAGCCACACUGGAACUGAGACACGGUCCAGACUCCUACGGGAGGCAGCAGUGGGGAAUAUUGGACAAUGGGCGCAAGCCUGAUCCAGCCAUACCGCGUGGGUGAAGAAGGCCUUCGGGUUGUAAAGCCCUUUUGUUGGGAAAGAAAAGCAGCAGGUUAAUACCCCGCUGUUCUGACGGUACCCAAAGAAUAAGCACCGGCUAACUUCGUG
rnacentral:rRNA from 1 species